UGGGGAAUAUUGCACAAUGGGGGAAACCCUGAUGCAGCGACGCCGCGUGAGUGAAGAAGUAUUUCGGUAUGUAAAGCUCUAUCAGCAGGGAAGAAAAUGACGGUACCUGACUAAGAAGCCCCGGCUAACUACGUGCCAGCAGCCGCGGUAAUACGUAGGGGGCAAGCGUUAUCCGGAAUUACUGGGUGUAAAGGGUGCGUAGGUGGUAUGGCAAGUCAGAAGUGAAAACCCAGGGCUUAACUCUGGGACUGCUUUUGAAACUGUCAGACUGGAGUGCAGGAGAGGUAAGCGGAAUUCCUAGUGUAGCGGUGAAAUGCGUAGAUAUUAGGAGGAACAUCAGUGGCGAAGGCGGCUUACUGGACUGAAACUGACACUGAGGCACGAAAGCGUGGGGAGCAAACAGG
rnacentral:rRNA from 1 species